AAUCAACGCUGGCGGCGUGCCUAACACAUGCAAGUCGCGCGCGAAAGGGGGCGAACUCCCAAGUAGAGCGGCGAACGGGUGAGUAACACGUGGGUAAUCUACCUUCGAGUGGGGAACGAACACCGGGAAACUGGUGCUAAUUCCGCAUAACAUCGUCGGGGCUUCGGUUCUGACGCUCAAAGCUGGGGAUCNCAAGACCUAGCGCUUGAAGAUGAGCCCGCGUCCGAUUAGCA
rnacentral:rRNA from 1 species